GUCAUCAUCAAAAGAUCCAUCAUCAUGAAUGUCAUCAACGACUUCAUCAUCCUCAGUGUAAUCUAGGGAAUAAACAAUAUCCAAGCCUUCAUCAAAAGAUCCAUCAUCAGCGACGAAACCAUAGUCAUCAGUGGAAUCAUUGGGAUGACGCAGGUUUUUAAUCCUUUCAGCACAUAUUCUUCCCAAAUUUCCUGACAGAGUGACAUUGAAACAUUUCCUUAGGUCAAGUGAUUCGAGGUGAGGGCAACCAUCAAGUAUGGCCUGCAAACCAUCAUUUGUCAGCUGAUUUCCAAUAA